CGGGGUGUAGCGCAGCUUGGUAGCGCAUCCGCUUUGGGAGCGGAAGGCCGCAGGUUCAAAUCCUGUCACCCCGACAA
rnacentral:tRNA from 14 species